UCUUCAUCCACGCCAAAAUAUCAAAACAACACAAAGACUCUUCCUCAUUUUUACAUUGUUUAUCAAAACACACACAACCCUUCUCUCUCUCGUCUUCAUCCCAGCUUCGAGGAAGAGUUCAAGAUCUAUCUACAGUUUCUCCAAAAAAAGUAACUUCAGCGAUCGAUCUUCCCGAAGAUUGCUACCAUCUGCAAAAUCUGGGAAAAAGGUGAGAUGUAAACCAGUAUAUUGGGCUAGGAAGAAGAAACGACAAUUAAAUAAGGGGACAAAGAAUGUGACUGAAGAAAGGGAAGACAUUGACGAAGAGAU